AGUAGGGAAUCUUCCGCAAUGGACGAAAGUCUGACGGAGCAACGCCGCGUGAGUGAAGAAGGCCUUCGGGUCGUAAAACUCUGUUGCCGGGGAAGAACAAGUGCCGUUCGAACAGGGCGGCGCCUUGACGGUACCCGGCCAGAAAGCCACGGCUAACU
rnacentral:rRNA from 1 species